UCUUUAUGUGCUCCCUGCCUGAAUCUACCAGCCAGCGAAUGACAACUGACUGAGUAUAAAUACUAGGACUACAGAACCGUGAUAAAAGGUGUCUCCUGCCCCUGGCCAGGGAGAGCCACAGGCUGGAUGACAUCUGGUUUAUAGUGAGGGGCAGCAGCAACUCCAAGAGGGGGAAGAUGUGACCAUGAGCCCCGCCCCAGACCCAGGAGGCUUGACCUUGGGGCUGCCGUAGCAGUGGAUGCUCUUCAGGUGAAUGACCUAUCCUGGGCCCGUGACCCUGGACUUCAGCCAGAUCAGCAUCUCAAGGUGAGACAACGUCUUACUAUUCUUUCCAGGCUGAUUGGGAACUACUGGCCUCCAGUGGUGAUGCAACGUAGGCCUCUCGCACCCGAGUUGUUUUUCUGGAAAAAGUAAAAUUAACAAACACUUGGCUAAACUAACUAAGAAAAAAAUAGAGAAGACUCAAAUAAAUAACAUGCGAAAUG
rnacentral:lncRNA from 1 species